ACUUCUCUUCUUGUAUUUUCCAUUUGCAUGUUGAGAGCUUGAGCUUGGAGGAGGUUCUUUUCAUUUUCAUGGUAGUUUCUUUGGAUGCAUGAAGACCCAUUUUUCAUUUUUGUUUCCUCUUUGCUGAACCAUUUUACUGAUUAUAUUUGGGUUUCCUUUGUUGAAUGAAGAAGAAUAUGGUUCCCACUAAGCAUUGGAAUGAAGAAAACUUGAGAUGAUUGUUGGUUGUUGGGAUCUUGAACCCUUCUUCUUCUUGUAUUUCACUUUGAGAAAUUUGUUUAAUAUUUGAAAUGGAAUUUUGUGAUUUCCAUGGAGGGUUGGACGAUAUUCACUUGGUUUCUAGGGAUUCCAUUUUGUUUUUCAUAAAAGUUUGAAGAGAAGUGAGUGUUGGGUUGGUUUGUAGUAGUGGAACUUGGCUUUGUUGUUCUUGAAUCAUUUUGCCAAUGAAACCUUGGGGUAUCUUGAGUGUAUUUUCGGUUUGAAGGGUGGAGAAAGGUUUAAGAAGUUUUUUUGGUGGAGGAAAAUGGAAAUGGAGCAUUGGAAAGGAAGAGAGAAGAUUAAUUUAAGUUUUUACCUUUUUUGGGCAAACACAAGAGAUGCUUGUUUUCACUAAAAGAAGAUUGCCAAUUUGGUCUUUGUCUUUUCCUUGCAUUGCUG
rnacentral:lncRNA from 1 species